rnacentral:rRNA from 1 species
ACUCAAUGAAUUGACGGGGACCCGCACAAGCGGUGGAACAUGUGGUUUAAUUCGAGGCAACGCGAAGAACCUUACCAGGGUUCGACAUGCUCUUUAACGGCCCUCCAAAAGGGGCCUUCAGUUCGGCUGGAAGAGACACAGGUGCUGCAUGGCUGUCGUCAGCUCGUGUCGUGAGAUGUUGGGUUAAGUCCCGCAACGAGCGCAACCCUCAUCCUCUGUUGCUAACAGGUAAUGCUGAGAACUCUGAGGAAACUGCCGGUGAUAAGCCGGAGGAAGGUGGGGAUGACGUCAAGUCCUCAUGGCCCUUACACCCUGGGCUACACACGUGUUACAAUGGCAGUGACAAUGGGCAGCUAACCCGCGAGGGUAUGCGAAUCCCAAAAAGCUGCCUCAGUUUGGAUUGUACUCUGCAACUCGAGUACAUGAAAUUGGAAUCGCUAGUAAUCGUAGAUCAGCAUGCUACGGUGAAUACGUUCCCGGGUCUUGCACACACCGCCCGU